rnacentral:rRNA from 1 species
AACGAACGCUGGCGGCAGGCUUAACACAUGCAAGUCGAACGCAUCCUUCGGGGUGAGUGGCAGACGGGUGAGUAACGCGUGGGAACGUGCCCUUCAGUUCGGGAUAACCCAGGGAAACUUGGGCUAAUACCGGAUACGUGCGAGAGCAGAAAGAUUUAUCGCUGAAGGAUCGGCCCGCGUCUGAUUAGCUAGUUGGUGGGGUAAUGGCCCACCAAGGCGACGAUCAGUAGCCGGUCUGAGAGGAUGAUCAGCCACAUUGGGACUGGGACACGGCCCAAACUCCUACGGGAGGCAGCAGGUGGGAAUAUUGGACAAUGGGCGCAAGCUUGAUCCAGCCAUGCCGCGUGAGUGAUGAAGGCCUCAGGGUUGUAAAGCUCUUUCGUCCGGGACGAUAAUGACGGUACCGGAAGAAGAAGCCCCGGCUAACUUCGUGCCAGCCGCCGCAGUAA